ACUGGGGUGCAACGAGGGCGAAAGUAAACGAUGACCCUUAAGGAACUCUACGUUAAAAUACGGUUCAUAAUGCAAAACCAAUCCUGGCCUGGGUCCUGGACUCCGGGUGAGGUUUUUU
rnacentral:sRNA from 1 species